rnacentral:rRNA from 1 species
GGGUGCGAUCAUACCAGCACUAAUGCACCGGAUCCCAUCAGAACUCCGCAGUUAAGGGUGCUUGGGCGAGAGUAGUACUAGGACGGGUGACCUCCUGGGAUGUCCUCGUGUUGCACCAC